CUGCUGCGGUGAAAUGAAGUGAAUGUGCGAAUCGAUUGCGCCAGCUGUGAGGAUACGGCCUUCGCCUGCGAUAAUCUCCGUACCCGGCCCAAUGAUAAUCGUCACGCCCGGUUGGGUGUCAGGAUUGCCAGCUUUACCGAUGCCCGCAAUGCGCCCAUUCAUCAACCCGACAUCGGCCUUGUAGAUGCCGGUAUGAUCGAGAAUCAGCGCAUUGGUGAUGACGGUAUCCAUCGCGCCUUGAGCGCGUGACAACUGGCUUUGCCCCAUGCCGUCACG
rnacentral:sRNA from 1 species